rnacentral:misc_RNA from 1 species
AAGUCGUAACAAGGUUUCCGUAGGUGAACCUGCGGAAGGAUCAUUAACACAAGUAAAAAAACAUUUUACAACACCCUAUUAUGAAUUUAAAUUUUUUAAUUUUAAUUUUAAUUUUUUUAUAAAACUACAAAAAAAAUAUUUAAUUUAUUUGACUAACAUUUCUUAAUUAUUUAUUUAAAAUUUUAUAAAACAACUCUUAACAACGGAUAUCUUGGCUCUC